UAAGUGUGUAUAUACAUACAGAGAGAGAGAGAAAGUCGGGUUAUCAUACUUUUAUAAGUAUAGAAUUUUUUUUGUCCUCGUAAGUCAUUUUCGAUGAUGGAGUUUUUGAAUUGAUGAUCUAUUCCGUUAAAUAUGAUCUAGGGUAUUUAAACUUUUAGAAAAUAAAUUUUAUAAUUUUUCAAAAUUUUGAAAUUAUAAUAAAUUUCAUCAAGUAGGCAUAAAAUGAACGACCAAAAUUUAACGACCUCCUAAAAGUAGAGGAUUGGAUUCUUCAAUUUAAGAUCGGAGUCGUAGAACUUUUAUUUAGAUAGUGAACAGAAUUUUCUAUAAAAUUCAACGGAUCCCUAUUCUUUUACAUUGUUAAACUAGCAAGCAACUCAUACUGACCGUUAAAAAUUAUCAAUUUUGAGAUCUUUUGAUCGUAAAGUAAAUAAUAUCGAAAAAUUAUAAAAUUUGGUUUCUGAACAUUUCAAAUACUCUAAAUCACGUUUAAUCAUAUAGAUUUCAUAUGAGUCGUCAAUUCGAAAACUUUAUUAUCGAAAAUAACUUACGAGUAUGAAGUUGAUCGCACUCAUGAGAGUACAAUAGUCGGACUAUAUAGAGAGAGAGUCCGAAUAUGGUGCUUUUAAAAAUAUCAAGCAUUUGGUGCUUGUAAGUUUUUCGUUGUUCGAUUUAUUCCUUUGACCAUUUUAUCCGUUAGAUCAUAAUAUUCAUCCAACCAUCCACUCAACCCUAGGGGAUCACUAUUAUUUUAACCGCAUAUUUCUUAAUCCAACUGUUGAAAACCUACAAGCACCAAUGACUUUAUGCUUUUAAAAGCAUAGGAGCUCAUUCUAUAUAUAUAUAUAUACACACAAAGUCAUAGGUGUUCAUGAAUUUUUGGCCUCUAGAUGAAGAUUUGUAAGGUUAGAAUAAUAGUGGUUCUUUAGGGUUUGAGUGGGUGGUGGGUAGAAGAGCAUAAUGUGAGAGAUAAUUUGGUAAAAGGGAUAGGUCUAAUCG
rnacentral:lncRNA from 1 species